CCCGAUGGCGAAGGCAGAUCUUUGGGCCGUAACUGACGCUGAGGAAGCGAAAGCGUGGGGAGCGAACAGGAUUAGAUACCCUGGUAGUCCACGCCGUAACGUUGGGCGCUAGAUGUAGGGACCUUUCCACGGUUUCUGUGUCGUAGCUAACGCAUUAAGCGCCCCGCCUGGGGAGUACGGCCGCAAGGCUAAAACUCAAAGGAAUUGACGGGGGCCCGCACAAGCGGCGGAGCAUGCGGAUUAAUUCGAUGCAACGCGAAGAACCUUACCAAGGCUUGACAUACACCGGAAACGGCCAGAGAUGGUCGCCCCCUUGUGGUCGGUGUACAGGUGGUGCAUGGUUGUCGUCAGCUCGUGUCGUGAGAUGUUGGGUUAAGUCCCGCAACGAGCGCAACCCUCGUUCUAUGUUGCCAGCGCGUUAUGGCGGGGACUCAUAGGAGACUGCCGGGGUCAACUCGGAGGAAGGUGGGGAUGACGUCAAAUCAUCAUGCCCCUUAUGUCUUGGGCUUCACGCAUGCUACAAUGGCCGGUACAAAGGGCUGCGAUACCGUAAGGUGGAGCGAAUCCCAAAAAGCCGGUCUCAGUUCGGAUUGAGGUCUGCAACUCGACCUCAUGAAGUCGGAGUCGCUAGUAAUCGCAGAUCAGC
rnacentral:rRNA from 1 species